AAGCCAGAGGGUAAUUUGAUGUGACUGUAGCCUGAGCACACAUAAAAAACUGGCCAAUUGCAGACUUAUGCAUUUCAGAUAGGCCAAUUUGGACUUAAUCUGCACACUUCACAGAGUGCAGGUAUGUAACGUGGACAAGUCUUGAACCAAUUUCUUCCAAAACUUUAAAUUUAUAAAAUAUGGACUCAAGAUCUACAUAGGGAUUUUAUUUUUGUAGUUGUUGCCUUUAUUUCUAUUUAUUCAUCGAGUGCAAAGGAACGACUAUAAUUUAUAUUUAUAACAUAAGAUUGCUAAGGUAUCUAUCAGACGACAAUGAGGCAAUUGGCUGGUCAAGCAAAGGAAAGCAGAAAAGAGAAACGACAAAGGAGAACCGAGUUUUUAGAAAUUAAGAGGAGCUUCUGGAAAAUUACUUUUCCAGUCAUUUGUGUAUUAUUGGCAUUGGUUGCUUUCAUUGUAUAUGCGAAAACAAGGCCAAAAAUAUAAUCUAUCGAGUUCAA
rnacentral:sRNA from 1 species